rnacentral:rRNA from 1 species
UGGGGAAUAUUGGACAAUGGGCGCAAGCCUGAUCCAGCAAUGCCGCGUGAGUGAUGAAGGCCUUCGGGUUGUAAACCUCUUUCAAGCAGGGACGAUAGUGACGGUACCUGCAGAAGAAGCUCCGGCCAACUACGUGCCAGCAGCCGCGGUGAUACGUAGGGAGCGAGCGUUGUCCGGAUUUAUUGGGCGUAAAGAGCUCGUAGGCGGCUCAGUAAGUCAGGUGUGAAAUCCUCAGGCUCAACCUGGGGUCGCCAUCUGAUACUGCUGUGGCUAGAGCCCGGUAGGGGCCCACGGAAUUCCUGGUGUAGCGGUGAAAUGCGCAGAUAUCAGGAGGAACACCGGUGGCGAAGGCGGUGGGCUGGGCCGGAGCUGACGCUGAGGAGCGAAAGCGUGGGGAGCGAACAGGAUUAGAUACCCUGGUAGUCCACGCUGUAAACGAUGUGCGCUAGACGUUGGAGGCCAUAGGUCUCCGGUGUCGCAGCUAACGCUUUAAGCGCACCGCCUGGGGAGUACGGCCGCAAGGUUA